GGGUGAAAUUGGAAAAACGGUAAAGAUACCGUAAAGGAAUUCUAAGACGAGAAGACCCCAUUGAGCUUUACUAUUAACUUGUAUUGCCGAAGCAAAAGAACUGAACGCUAAUAGAAUUGAGUAGACUAAGUGGUAUUCAAGCAGGCAACCAAGGGUUAUAGGUUUAGCCGACCCCGACCCUUACCUACCCUCGAGGUCGGCCCUACUGGGAAAGCCCACCCUACUAUGAAAAACCACUCUUUUUAUUAGGAUUACUGGCUAAAACCGUACAAGUAAGGUAGUUUGGUUGGGGCGACCGCCUUCGAAAAAGUAUCGAAGGCGCACAUAAGAUUAAUCAGGGGGGUUUUAGGCUCCAGGGGGUAAUGCCCCAAAAAAGAUUAGUUUGACUGAGAGGGCUACAACCCGAACAGGCGCUGAUCCAGGCUUGGUUUAUACCGAGACUACGCUCCCCCGUACGCGGGUCAUAGU
rnacentral:rRNA from 1 species